UAAUACAACCUCACACACUUCUCACCAAAUCUUUCUUUAAUUGUCUCCGCAAUCAUUAUUUACUGCUUCACUUAUUACUAGUGUUUUGCUUUAAAUUUGGAUUUAUUUGUCUUUUAGCCUGUAAGUGACCUGUCAAAGGAGAGAAUCUUUGCCCUUCCCAACUCACCUCUUAUUAUUUAUAAGUAAUGCCCAUUACUUGAUCCAACGCUCUCUUGUUUAUAUUUUUGACUAACUCAAGCUCUCUCGGUUUU